CCGAGUUGUCGGAUGAGUUGUGGUUAGGAGCGAAAGACUAAUCAAACCUUGUGAUAGCUGGUUCUUUCCGAAAUAUAUUUGGGUAUAGCCUCGGAUGCUGAUGAGUGGAGGUAGAGCACUAAAUAAGCUAGGGCCCCUACUGGGGUACUGAACUUAAUUAAACUCCGAAUACCAUUCAAUGAAGUCCGGGAGUCAGACUGUGGGGGAUAACCUUCAUAGUCGAGAGGAGAAUAAUCCAUACCAUCAGUUAAGGUCCCAAAAUAUGGCUCAGUGAAAAAGGAUGUGAUUUUGCUUAGAUAAUGGGGAUGUUGGCUUAGAGGUAGCCAUCAUUUAAACAGUGUGUAAUAGCUGACCCAUCGAGCGAAAUUGCGCCGAAAAUGAUCGGGACUUAAGCCAUAUACCGAAGCUAUGGGUGCACCCUCAAAAGUGCGCAGUAGGAAAGCGUCCCAAGUGCAGCGAAGUGGAAGGGGUAACCGACCAUGGAGCGCUUGGGAGUGAGAAUGCAGACAUAAGUAACGAUAAAGACGGUUGAAAUCCGUCUCGCCGAAAUCCCAAGGAUUCCUGGGGAAGGUUCGUCCUCCCAGGGUUAGUCGGGUGCUAAGACGAGGCCGUAAGGAAUAGUCGAUGCCAAGCAGGUUUAAUAUUCCUGCACCACCGUACAUACGUUCGACCUAAGGAGUGACGGAGAAAGUUAAUACAGCGACGUGUUGAAUCGUCGUCUAAGCUCGUAGGCUGCUCGGGGAUAAAAGACCGGGUAAAGCUGAAAAGUGAUGGGACCUUGAGGCUACGGCCGAUGGGGAUUGUAUGAUACUCGGCUUCCAAGAAAAACUUCGUAGUUAGUAUGUGAGGUGCCCGUACCGUAAACCGACACAGGUGGGAUAGAUGAGUAUUCUAAGGCGCGCAGGUUAAAUCUCUCUAAGGAACUCGGCAAAUUAACCCCGUAUCUUUGGUAGAAGGGGUGCCUCGCAAGAGGCCGUAGUUAAUUGCGUCAACCGACUGUUUAGUAAAAACACAGCACUCUGCUAAGUCGCAAGACGACGUAUAGGGUGUGACACGUGACCAAUGCGGAAAGGUGAAAGUCUUGGGUGUAAGCUCAGGAUCUAAGCCCCCGUGAAUGUUGGCCGUAAUUAUAACGGUCCUAAGGUAGCGAAAUUCCUUGUCGGGUAAGUUCCGACCCGCACGAAUCGUGUAACGAGUUGACGACUGUCUCGGAGAGAGGCCUGGUGAAAUUGUAGUGGCGGUGAAGAUGCCGCCUACCCGCAGCAGGACGGAAAGACCCUAUGCACCUUUACUGUAAGCUGUUAUUGUCGCUUGAGUUUCAAUACGUAGAAUAGGUGGGAGACUCUGAAGCCUGGUUCUAGGAUCAGGCUGAGUCACAACGUGAAAUACCACUUUUUGUUACUUAGGCGUCUAACCUCGUACCAUUAUUUGGUCGAGGGACAGUGAUAGCAGGUCAGUUUUUCUGGGGCGGAAUCCUCCCAAAAAGUAAUGGAGGAUUACGAAGGUUCCCUUGGCCCGGUUGGUAAUCGGGCUAUAGAGUGUAUGAGUAUAAGGGAGCUUUACUGUGAGACUAAUAAGUCGAGCAGUUGCGAAAGCAGGUUCAAGUGAUCCGGUGGAAAU
rnacentral:rRNA from 1 species